GACAGAGGUCCCGAGCGUUAGGCGGAAUCACUGGGCUUAAAGCGUGUGUAGGCGGAUUGACAAGUACCUUGUGAAAUCCCACGGCUUAACCGUGGAACUGCUGGGUAUACUGUUGAUCUUGAGGGCAUCUAGGGGGCAACUGGAACAAACGGUGGAGCGGUGAAAUGCGUAGAUAUCGUUUGGAAACGCCUAUGGUGAAAAACAGGUUGCUGGGGGGAUGUACUGACGCUGAGACACGAAAAGCCAGGGGAGGCAAAACGGGG
rnacentral:rRNA from 1 species